rnacentral:rRNA from 1 species
GACAGAGGGUGCAAACGUUGUUCGGAAUUACUGGGCGUAAAGAGCGCGCAGGCGGUCGUACAAGUCGCGUGUGAAAGCCCCCGGCUCAACUGGGGAGGGUCACGCGAUACUGUUCGACUCGAAGGCAGGAGAGGGAAGUGGAAUUCCCGGUGUAGUGGUGAAAUCCGUAGAUAUCGGGAGGAACACCAGUGGCGAAGGCGACUUCCUGGCCUGUUCUUGACGCUGAGGCGCGAAAGCUAGGGUAGCAAACGGG